UACGAAGGGUGCAAACGUUGCCCGGAAUUAUUGGGCGUAAAGCGCACGUAGGCGGCUUAGCAAGUCGGAAGUGAAAUCCCACGGCUCAACCAUGGAAGUGCUUUCGAAACUGCUGAGCUUGAGUACGAAAGAGGAUCGCGGAAUUCCCGGUGUAGAGGUGAAAUUCGUAGAUAUCGGGAGGAACACCAGUGGCGAAGGCGGCGAUCUGGGUCGAUACUGACGCUGAGGUGCGAAAGCGUGGGGAGCAAACAGG
rnacentral:rRNA from 1 species